CAAACAAACGUCAUAUUACUGCCUUGGCUCCUACCAGUUGCUUGCAUGAAAAUAUCGCUGCCUCCACAGUGCUCGUGAUUCCAUCCCAGCAGCAGCUAGCAACCACAAUUCCAGUGUUUAUCGCCAGCAACAUCAGAAAAUUAAGAUUUCCCCAAGACCAUGACCAUCAUCCGACAGAUCGGUAGCAACAACGUUCAACUGACGGUAGAACCUGGCCAGCAACCGCAACUAGUGCAAUCGAUCCAAGCCAAUCAGGGCCAAAUGUAGAAGACCAUUGGUCAACCGCAAAAAAAAAGAUACAUCAACAGCACCUUCAAACACAGUAGCAGCAGCAUACUGUACUGUACCACGCUGCGUGCAGGAGGACUUUUUUUUUAUUCAGUUGGUGCAGCAAGAUCGAACAGCAACCAUAGCGGAUACACAUCACCGAACACCAGCAACAUAAUGCCAUGGUAACCACCCAGCAGCAGAACACGGUGAUAAUGGGCCAACAGUAAAUACAACAUCAAGAUCCUCGGAAAGGACUUUCUCUUUCGAACAAACAUAAUGGAAGCAUACUCUACACGCGCGACAUAUUCAAUCGGGCCAACCGUGUGACUCGUUUGGAAAAAAGCGCUCAUCAUCGGUUUCAUGGCAGCGAAGUGAGCAGACAAAAGAAGGCGUUUUUUCCGCAAGGUCGCUCUGGGCAAAAGUUCAGCCAAUUGCAAGGAAUAAACCACCGGAGUGACAGUAUCCGUGCUGUUUGGGACCUUUUUCCAUAUAUUGUAGCUUUUGAAUUUUAAUACCCGGUCGAAACGAUGGCAAGUGCUGCCGAUAACUGGGUCAAAAAGGCGGAGGGAGGAUCAGGAAAUUUCUGCACUCGGUUUUGAAUUUUUCUUUUCAAUACAAAUAGGUUAUCGAUCUGAGUAUCCCUAAGGAUAAGGAAAAAGAGC